rnacentral:rRNA from 1 species
UACGGAGGGGGCUAGCGUUGUUCGGAUUUACUGGGCGUAAAGGGCGCGUAGGCGGCCAGCACAAGUCAGUUGUGAAAUCUCCGAGCUUAACUCGGAAAGGUCAACUGAUACUGUGCGGCUAGAGUGCGGAAGGGGCAACUGGAAUUCUUGGUGUAGCGGUGAAAUGCGUAGAUAUCAGGAAGAACAUCGGUGGCGAAGGCGCUCUGCUGGACCAUAACUGACACUCAGGGACGAAAGCUAGGGGAGCGAAUGGG